GAGAAGAACGUAGCGAAAUGCGAUAAGUAAUGUGAAUUGCAGAAUUCAGUGAAUCAUCGAAUCUUUGAACGCACAUUGCGCCCGCCAGUAUUCUGGCGGGCAUGCCUGUUCGAGCGUCAUUACAACCCUCAGGCCCCCGGGCCUGGCGUUGGGGAUCGGCGGAGCCCCCCGUGGGCACACGCCGUCCCCCAAAUGCAGUGGCGGUCCCGCCGCAGCUUCCAUCGCGUAGUAGCUAACACCUCGCGACUGGAGAGCGGCGCGGCCACGCCGUAAAACACCCAACUCUUCUGAAGUUGACCUCGAAUCAGGUAGGAAUACCCGCUGAACUUAAGCAUAUCAAUAAGCGGAGGGA
rnacentral:misc_RNA from 1 species